rnacentral:ncRNA from 1 species
CACGUGAAAUCCUGUCUGAAGAUGGGGGGACCACCCUCCAAGCCUAAGUACUCCUCAGCGACCGAUAGCGAACCAGUACCGUGAGGGAAAGGUGAAAAGCACCCCGACGAGGGGAGUGAAACAGUUCCUGAAACCGGAUGCUUACAAACAGUGGGAGCCCAAGGCGAGUCCUUCGAUGGAUGUCCUGGGUGACUGCGUACCUUUUGUAUAAUGGGUCAGCGACUUAAAGUAACGAGCAAGCUUAAGCCGAUAGGCGAAGGCGCAGCGAAAGCGAGUCUGAACAGGGCGUUCAGUCCGCUGCUUUAGACCCGAAACCAGGUGAUCUAGCCAUGCGCAGGAUGAAGGUGCGGUAACACGCACUGGAGGUCCGAACCAGUGCCCGUUGAAAAGGUCUUGGAUGACGUGUGGUUAGGGGUGAAAGGCCAAUCAAACCUGGACAUAGCUGGUUCUCCGCGAAAGCUAUUUAGGUAGCGCCUCGGUUGUAUGCCGUGCGGGGUAGAGCACUGGAUGGGCUAGGGCCGCCCACAGCGGUACCGCACUCAACCAAACUCCGAAUACGCACGAGCUUGACCGGGAGACACACGGCGGGUGCUAACGUCCGUCGUGAAGAGGGCAACAACCCUGACCGACAGCUAAGGCCCCCAAUUCGUGGCUAAGUGGGAAAGGAUGUGGGACUCCCAAAACAACCAGGAGGUUGGCUUAGAAGCAGCCAUCCUUUAAAGAAAGCGUAACAGCUCACUGGUCUAGUCAAGGGGUCCUGCGCCGAAAAUGUAACGGGGCUCAAGCCACGAGCCGAAGCUUCGGGUGUGACGCAAGUCACGCGGUAGCGGAGCGUUCCCUAGGCUGAUGAAGCGGGACCCGUGAGGGCCCGUGGAGGCAUGGGAAGUGCGAAUGCUGACAUGAGUAACGACAAAGAGUGUGAAAGACACUCUCGCCGAAAGUCCAAGGGUUCCUGCGUAAAGUUAAUCUGCGCAGGGUCAGCCGGCCCCUAAGGCGAGGCCGAAAGGCGUAGUCGAUGGGAAUGGGGCGAAUAUUCCCCAGCCAGUGGAUGGUGACGGAUGCCGUGUAUCGUUCGGCCUUAUCGGAUUGGCCGGGCGGUGAAGGGGUCCCAGGAAACAGCCUCCACACUAGACCGUACCCGAAACCGACACAGGUGGACUGGUAGAGCAUACCAAGGCGCUUGAGAGAACGAUGCUGAAGGAACUCGGCAAUCUGCCUCCGUAACUUCGGGAUAAGGAGGCCCUGUCUUUGCGCAAGCAGAGGCAGGGGGCACAGACCAGGGGGUGGCGACUGUUUAUCUAAAACACAGGACUCUGCGAAGUCGAGAAGACGACGUAUAGGGUCUGACGCCUGCCCGGUGCCGGAAGGUCAAGAGGAG